ACCCUGCUUCCAGGAAAAGCCACUAAGCUUCAGUCUAGAAUUGACCGUACCGCAAACCGACACAGGUGGGCAGGUAGAAGAUACUAAGGCGCUUGAGAGAACUCAGGAGAAGGAACUCGGCAAAUUGAUACCGUAACUUCGGGAGAAGGUAUGCCCUGGUAGCUUGUAGGAGAACAUCCGAAGGGCGACGGGGCCGCAGAGAAUCGGUGGCUGCGACUGUUUAUUAAAAACACAGCACUCUGCAAACACGAAAGUGGACGUAUAGGGUGUGACGCCUGCCCGGUGCCGGAAGGUUAAGUGAUGGGGUGCAAGCUCUUGAUCGAAGCCCCGGUAAACGGCGGCCGUAACUAUAACGGUCCUAAGGUAGCGAAAUUCCUUGUCGGGUAAGUUCCGACCUGCACGAAUGGCGUAACGAUGGCCACACUGUCUCCUCCUGAGACUCAGCGAAGUUGAAGUGUUUGUGAAGAUGCAAUCUCCCCGCGGCUAGACGGAAAGACCCCAUGAACCUUUACUGUAGCUUUGCAUUGGACUUUGACGGGACUUGUGUAGGAUAGGUGGGAGGCGCUGAGACCAGGACGCUAGUUCUGGUGGAGCCGUCCUUGAAAUACCACCCGGGUGUCGUUGAGGUUCUAACCUAGGUCCAUCAUCUGGAUCGGGGACCGUGCAUGGUAGGCAGUUUGACUGGGGCGGUCUCCUCCCAAAAGGUAACGGAGGAGUACGAAGGUCUUCUAGGUACGGUCGGACAUCGUACUGAUAGUGCAAUGGCAAAAGAAGGCUUGACUGCGAGACCGACAAGUCGAGCAGGUGCGAAAGCAGGUCAUAGUGAUCCGGUGGUUCUGUAUGGAAGGGCCAUCGCUCAACGGAUAAAAGGUACUCUGGGGAUAACAGGCUGAUUCCGCCCAAGAGUUCACAUCGACGGCGGAGUUUGGCACCUCGAUGUCGGCUCAUCACAUCCUGGGGCUGUAGCCGGUCCCAAGGGUAUGGCUGUUCGCCAUUUAAAGUGGUACGUGAGCUGGGUUUUAAAACGUCGUGAGACAGUUUGGUCCCUAUCUGCCGUGGGCGCUGGAUAUUUGAGGGGGCCUGCUCCUAGUACGAGUGGACCGGAGUGGACGGAUCUCUGGUGUACCGGUUGUGACGCCAGUCGCAUCGCCGGGUAGCUAAAUCCGGAAGAGAUAACCGCUGAAAGCAUCUAAGCGGGAAACUCGCCUCGAGAUGAGAUAUCCCUGGGAACUUGAUUCCCCUGAAGGGUCGUCGAAGACCACGACGUUGAUAGGUCGGGUGUGGAAGCGU
rnacentral:rRNA from 1 species